GACCCAGUGGCGGAUGGUCCGUGCCUGCUCAACAUACGGCUAUCUCCUCGAACAGUUGCGUUAUGCAGGUGUUGCUCGUUCGAAUCGAGCCUGGGUCG